rnacentral:rRNA from 1 species
AUUGAACGCUGGCGGCAGGCCUAACACAUGCAAGUCGAACGAGUGGCGGACGGGUGAGUAAUGUCUGGGAAACUGCCUGCUGGCAGGGGAUAACUACUGGAAACGGUAGCUAAUACCGCAUACCAUCAGCUGUGCCCAGAUGGGAUUAUCUUGUUGGUGGGGUAACGGCGAACCAAGGCGACUAGCCCUAGCUGGUCUGAGAGGAUGACCGGCCACAGUGGAACUGAGCCACGGUCCAGACGCCUACGGGAGGCAGCAGGGGGGAAGAUUGCACAAUGGGGGCAAGCCUGAUGCAGCCAUGCCGCGUGUAUGAAGAAGGCCUUCGGGUUGUAAAGUACGUUCAGCGGGGAGGCGUUACCCGCAGAAGAAGCACCGGCUAACUCCGUGCCAGCAGCCGCGGUAAUAC